rnacentral:lncRNA from 1 species
UGAAGAGUUACGGGGGAAUGUGGUUGAAUAUUCAAAAAGGAAUGAAGAUAACAUUGAGCAAUGUCAGGACUUUCAGCUAGAUCUCAUCAGUGGCAGGGAUGCUCAGAGAGAGUCGCUUUUCCAGCACUUCUACCAAGCGCUCCAGAAAGCGUGGGAUCGAGAGAAACCUUCGGAUUGCGUCAUUGUCUCUAUGGAUACAAACCAGAGGUGACUUUAUGUCUUUUUAGCUUACCAAAUGAGGAUGUGUGCACGUUAUGAUUUAAGUGUGUAGUGUUGGGUAUAUAACUUACUGGGAGUCAGUAUUAGGUACAUUCCCUUAAGAUUGUCAAAAUGUCACUGCUGGCCUAACUAAUUGGAAGU